rnacentral:rRNA from 1 species
UACGUAGGGGGCAAGCGUUAUCCGGAAUUACUGGGUGUAAAGGGAGCGUAGACGGUAAUGUAAGUCUGGAGUGAAAGGCGGGGGCCCGACCCCCGGACUGCUCUGGAAACUAUGUUACUAGAGUGCAGGAGAGGUAAGCGGAAUUCCUAGUGUAGCGGUGAAAUGCGUAGAUAUUAGGAGGAACACCAGUGGCGAAGGCGGCUUACUGGACUGUAACUGACGUUGAGGCUCGAAAGCGUGGGGAGCAAACAGG